AACGCACAUUGCGCCCGCCGGUAUUCCGGCGGGCAUGCCUGUUCGAGCGUCAUUUCAACCCUCAAGCACUUCUGCUUGGUGUUGGGGAUCGGCCGUUAAACGCCGCCCCCGAAAUCCAUUGGCGAUCUCGCUGUAGCUUCCUAUGCGUAGUAGUAACAUCUCGCAUCUGGAGAGCGGCGCGGUCAUGCCGUAAAACACCCAACUUCUCAGGUUGACCUCAGAUCAGGUAGGAAUACCCGCUGAACUUAA
rnacentral:misc_RNA from 1 species